ACAUGGAGUUAGUGGUGGACAGGUGGGACAGAACCACAUGGAGUUAGUGGUGGACAGGUGGGACAGAACCACAUGGAGUUAGUGAUGGACAGGUGGGACAGAACCAUUGGAGUUAGUGAUGGACAGGUGGGACAGAACCAUUGGAGUUAGUGAUGGACAGGUGGGACAGAACCAUUGGAGUUAGUGAUGGACAGGUGGGACAGAACCAUUGGAGUUAGUGAUGGACAGGUGGGACAGAACCAUUGGAGUUAGUGAUGGACAGGUGGGACAGAACCAUUGGAGUUAGUGAUGGACAGGUAGGACAGAACCAUUGGAGUUAGUGAUGGACAGGUAGGACAGAACCAUUGGAGUUAGUGAUGGACAGGUAGGACAGAACCAUUGGAGUUAGUGAUGGACAGGUGGGACAGAACCAUUGGAGUUAGUGAUGGACAGGUGGGACAGAACCAUUGGAGUUAGUGAUGGACAGGUGGGACAGAACCAUUGGAGUUAGUGAUGGACAGGUGGGACAGAACCAUUGGAGUUAGUGAUGGACAGGUGGGACAGAACCACAUGGAGUUAGUGAUGGACAGGUGGGACAGAACCACAUGGAGUUAGUGGUGGACAGGUGGGACAGAACCACAUGGAGUUAGUGAUGGACAGGUGGGACAGAACCACAUGGAGUUAGUGAUGGACAGGUGGGACAGAACCACAUGGAGUUAGUGAUGGACAGGUGGGACAGAACCAUUGGAGUUAGUGAUGGACAGGUGGGACAGAACCACAUGGAGUUAGUGAUGGACAGGUGGGACAGAACCACAUGGAGUUAGUGGUGGACAGGUGGGACAGAACCACAUGGAGUUAGUGAUGGACAGGUGGGACAGAACCACAUGGAGUUAGUGAUGGACAGGUGGGACAGAACCACAUGGAGUUAGUGAUGGACAGGUGGGACAGAACCAUUGGAGUUAGUGAUGGACAGGUGGGACAGAACCACAUGGAGUUAGUGAUGGACAGGUGGGACAGAACCACAUGGAGUUAGUGAUGGACAGGUGGGACAGAACCAUUGGAGUUAGUGAUGGACAGGUGGGACAGAACCACAUGGAGUUAGUGAUGGACAGGUGGGACAGAACCACAUGGAGUUAGUGAUGGACAGGUGGGACAGAACCACAUGGAGUUAGUGAUGGACAGGUGGGACAGAACCACAUGGAGUUAGUGAUGGACAGGUGGGACAGAACCACUGGAGUUAGUGAUGGACAGGUGGGACAGAACCCCUGGAGUUAGUGAUGGACAGGUGGGACAGAACCACUGGAGGUAGUGUUGCACGGGGGAUAGAACCACAUGGAGUUGGUGUUGCACGGGGGGGAUAGAACCACAUGGAGUUGGUGUUGCACGGGGGGGAUAGAACAACAUGGAGUUGGUGUUGCACGGGGGGGAUAGAACCACAUGGAGUUGGUGUUGCACGGGGGAUAGAACCACAUGGAAUUGGUGUUGCACGGGGGGAUAGAACCACAUGGAGUUGGUGUUGCAUGGUCCUUCUGUGGCUCAGUUGGUAGAGCAUGGCGCUUGUAACGCCAGGGUAGUGGGUUCGAUUCCCGGGACCACCCAUACGUAGAAUGUAUGCACUCAUGACUGUAAGUCGCUUUGGAUAAAAGCGUCAGCUAAAUGGCAUAUAUUAUUAUUAUUAUUAUUGCAUGGGGGGGAUAGAACUGUAUGCAGUUAGGGAUGGACAGGUGGUAUGUCAUG